rnacentral:rRNA from 1 species
UACAGAGGGUGCAAGCGUCGUUCGGAAUUACUGGGCGUAAAGCGCGUGUAGGUGGCGAUGUAAGUCGGGUGUGAAAUCCCUUGGCUCAACCAAGGAAGUGCACUCGAUACUGUGUCGCUUGAGUAUCGGAGGGGACGGCGGAAUUCCCGGUGUAGAGGUGAAAUGCGUAGAUAUCUGGAGGAACACCGGUGGCGAAAGCGGCUCACUGGACCCGAUCUGACACUGAUGUGCGAAAGCUAGGGUAGCAAACGGG